rnacentral:rRNA from 1 species
AUUGAACGCUGGCGGCAGGCCUAACACAUGCAAGUCGAGCGAGCGGCGGACGGGUGAGUAAUGUAUGGGGACUGCCCGAUAGAGGGGGAUAACUACUGGAAACGGUAGCUAAUACCGCAUACUAUCGGAUAACCCGUAUGGGAUUAGCUAGUUGGUGAGGUAAUGGCUCACCAAGGCGACGAUCCCUAGCUGGUCUGAGAGGAUGAUCAGCCAAACUGGGACUGGGACACAGCCCAGAGGACUACGGAGGCAGGAGGGGGGAAUAUUGGGCAAUGGGCGCGAGCCUGACCCAGGCACGCCGGGUGAAGGAAGACGGUCUUCGGAUUGUAAACUUCUUUAGAAAGGGACGCGGUACCUGUAGAAUAAGCCACGGCUAACUACGUGCCAGCAGCCGCGGUAAUUC